AUGGGAGCUUGCUCCCUGAUGUUAGCGGCGGACGGGUGAGUAACACGUGGGUAACCUGCCUGUAAGACUGGGAUAACUCCGGGAAACCGGGGCUAAUACCGGAUGCUUGUUUGAACCGCAUGGUUCAGACAUAAAAGGUGGCUUCGGCUACCACUUACAGAUGGACCCGCGGCGCAUUAGCUAGUUGGUGAGGUAACGGCUCACCAAGGCGACGAUGCGUAGCCGACCUGAGAGGGUGAUCGGCCACACUGGGACUGAGACACGGCCCAGACUCCUACGGGAGGCAGCAGUAGGGAAUCUUCCGCAAUGGACGAAAGUCUGACGGAGCAACGCCGCGUGAGUGAUGAAGGUUUUCGGAUCGUAAAGCUCUGUUGUUAGGGAAGAACAAGUGCCGUUCAAAUAGGGCGGCACCUUGACGGUACCUAACCAGAAAGCCACGGCUAACUACGUGCCAGCAGCCGCGGUAAUACGUAGGUGGCAAGCGUUGUCCGGAAUUAUUGGGCGUAAAGGGCUCGCAGGCGGUUUCUUAAGUCUGAUGUGAAAGCCCCCGGCUCAACCGGGGAGGGUCAUUGGAAACUGGGGAACUUGAGUGCAGAAGAGGAGAGUGGAAUUCCACGUGUAGCGGUGAAAUGCGUAGAGAUGUGGAGGAACACCAGUGGCGAAGGCGACUCUCUGGUCUGUAACUGACGCUGAGGAGCGAAAGCGUGGGGAGCGAACAGGAUUAGAUACCCU
rnacentral:rRNA from 1 species